rnacentral:lncRNA from 1 species
UUUCAAACCAACUUUAUAUGUCCAUUUAUUUGAAGACAAAUCUUUGAUAAAAUUUUUGUUCAAAACUAACUCAAUUCAAUUGGUGAUGUAAUUCUAGCUCCAACCAGAUCAAACAUUGGAACAUAAUUAUUUUGAUUCAAAUUAUAUAUUAAAAUUCAAGGGUUUUUUAUUUGUUGUAUAUAUAUAUAUGUAAGGCCCAAAUUAUGCCCGGGCCCAGACCACAAGAAUAAACCAAGAAAAAACAAAAAUAAUUAACGGCCCAUCUAAUGUCCAUUUACAGUUCAAAUCAUUACAAUGUCCACAAGUCCACUUACAAUAUUAAACAACCCCAAACCCAGCUGCAUAACCCAAGACCCAAUUAAGAUCCAAUAGCUAAAACCCUAACCCAAAACCCGGACAGCCCAAUAGGCCCAAUGCCUAAAACAAGAGUCAAGGUAGAAAACCCUAGCCCCAUUCGCUCAGCGCCGCAACGACCCCAGCCCCAGCAGCCUCCGUACACAGUACGUCGUACUCCUCCACGCCAAGCUACGCCAACUGGCCUCCGUACCUGCGAAGAAACAGACAAACACAACAGCAAGGACAAGCAAAAACAAAAAGUAGCAGUAGAGAAAAAUAACAGAAAAUGAAAUUAUUUGUAUUUUUUUCUUCUGAUUUUCGGCUAUAUAAAAGCCUUAUUUUCAUUGUAGGUAGAGAGAAUAGAUACUCAUAUUGAAUAGAGAGUUCAAAAGCAAUUUUUUAGGAAGGCGAUUUUCGAUUUAAAUCUCUGUGUAUUUUUUUUUUGUUUGUUUUUCAUUCUUUUGGGUUCAUAGUUUUAAUGUUUGAAAGAAAAUAAAAAGAGGAGAAAGAAGUUCUUACCUGGAAAAUAUGCCAUAAAUCUCCUUUUUGCUUUGUUUGAAUCGAAGCCAAGAAGAGAUUUGAAGGCUGAAAGAUCAUUCCCCAUGCUUGAAUAUGUAGCUUAGUGUUUGAGAGAGGGAGAGAAUCGGCCAAAUGAGGGGAAAGUAUGGGGUAUUAGGUUUUCUGCCUUAAUUGUGGCUUGAAGAAAUGGCAAUUGCCAUUCAAUUUCCUGCCACUUUGAAAUAAAUUGAAACGGUGGUGUUUAAGGGUGGGGGCCACGUGUUGACCUAUGUCAUGACUCAAUUUGUGCAUUUGUAUGCCAAAUGGGAAAUUUCCACGAUUAAUCCCUCGCUUUUUGCACCAAAUUUCAGCAGACCCCAUUGGCACCCAUGUGUUUUAUUUUAAUUUUUCCCCAAAAAUUUGUACACUAUUUCAUUUUAGUUCGCUCCAAGGUGUAGCGUUUCGGGGGGUCCGGAUUAUUUUCAUUUAGUCCCUGCGCAUUCGCACUUGUUACAAGCUGACCCCUUUGUCAUUUUGGC